GAUGAACGCUGGCGGCGUGCCUAAUACAUGCAAGUCGAGCGAAUGGAUUAAGAGCUUGCUCUUAUGAAGUUAGCGGCGGACGGGUGAGUAACACGUGGGUAACCUGCCCAUAAGACUGGGAUAACUCCGGGAAACCGGGGCUAAUACCGGAUAACAUUUUGAACCGCAUGGUUCGAAAUUGAAAGGCGGCUUCGGCUGUCACUUAUGGAUGGACCCGCGUAGCAUUAGCUAGUUGGUGAGGUAACGGCUCACCAAGGCAACGAUGCGUAGCCGACCUGAGAGGGUGAUCGGCCACACUGGGACUGAGACAUGGCCCAGACUCCUACGGGAGGCAGCAGUAGGGAAUCUUCCGCAAUGGACGAAAGUCUGACGGAGCAACGCCGCGUGAGUGAUGAAGGCUUUCGGGUCGUAAAACUCUGUUGUUAGGGAAGAACAAGUGCUAGUUGAAUAAGCUGGCACCUUGACGGUACCUAACCAGAAAGCCACGGCUAACUACGUGCCAGCAGCCGCCGCGG
rnacentral:rRNA from 1 species